rnacentral:rRNA from 1 species
UGGGGAAUAUUGGACAAUGGGCGAAAGCCUGAUCCAGCCAUGCCGCGUGUGUGAAGAAGGUCUUCGGAUUGUAAAGCACUUUAAGUUGGGAGGAAGGGCAGUAAGCGAAUACCUUGCUGUUUUGACGUUACCGACAGAAUAAGCACCGGCUAACUCUGUGCCAGCAGCCGCGGUAAUACAGAGGGUGCAAGCGUUAAUCGGAAUUACUGGGCGUAAGCGCGCGUAGGUGGUUCGUUAAGUUGAAUGUGAAAGCCCCGGGCUCAACCUGGGAACUGCAUCCAAAACUGGCGAGCUAGAGUAGGGCAGAGGAUGGUAGAAUUCCAGGUGUAGCGGUGAAAUGCGUAGAGAUCUGUUGGAAUACCGAUGGCGAAGGCAGCCAUCUGGCCUAACACUGACGCUGAGGUACGAAAGCAUGGGGAGCAAACAGG